AAACACGAUAUCAACUUCUCAUCUACAAGAGUUCAACAUGAAACUCCGGCGAACGAUGAGGAAUGAUUCUCUCUGAGA
rnacentral:sRNA from 1 species